UAAAGCCCUUUCGGAGAACACUUACUGCCUC
rnacentral:piRNA from 1 species